GUGGGGAAUAUUGGGCAAUGGGCGCAAGCCUGACCCAGCAACGCCGCGUGAAGGAAGAAGGCUUUCGGGUUGUAAACUUCUUUUAUCAGGGACGAAGAACGUGACGGUACCUGAUGAAUAAGCCACGGCUAACUACGUGCCAGCAGCCGCGGUAAUACGUAGGUGGCGAGCGUUGUCCGGAUUUACUGGGUGUAAAGGGCGCGUAGGCGGGAAGGCAAGUCAGGUGUGAAAUCUAUGGGCUCAACCCAUAAACUGCACUUGAAACUGUUUUUCUUGAGUGUCGGAGAGGUAGAUGGAAUUCCUAGUGUAGCGGUGAAAUGCGUAGAUAUUAGGAGGAACACCAGUGGCGAAGGCGAUCUACUGGACGAUAACUGACGCUGAGGCGCGAAAGCGUGGGGAGCAAACAGG
rnacentral:rRNA from 1 species